GCUCUAUCUACUUGCAUCAUUGUAAAUAGAUGCAGGAUCGACUAUGUCGAAUAAAAUUCUAGGUAGAAUUUUGAUAAUGACAUUGUCUGCCUAUGUGUCUUGACCAAAUUACGUGCCAGCAGUCGCGGUAAUACGUAGAAGACUAGUGUUAUUCAUGUUUAAUCGGUUUAAAGGGUACCUAGACGGUAAAUCAAGCCUAAAAUUAAGUGAAGGGACUAAUUUACUAGAGUUACUUAUGAGGGGGUAUUAAAGUACUGCUGGUGUAGAGAUGAAAUUCUGUCAUACCUCUUUUCAAUAGAAAAAUAACGGCACAGGUAUAGGCGAAAGCAUCCCCUUAUGUGAUAACUGACGUUGAGGGACGAAGGCUUUGUGUAGCGAACAGGAUUAGAUACCCCAGUAGUCAAAGCAGAAAAUGAUGAAUGUCAUAGAUUAGAUAUAUAAGUUUAUUCUAUAAAUGAAAGUGUAAGCAUUCCACCUCAAGAGUAAUUUGGCAACAUUGGAACUGAAAUCAUUAGACCGUUUCUGAAACCAGUAGUGAAGUAUGUUGUUUAAUUUGAUGAUCCGCAAAAAACCUUACCACAAUUUGAAUAUUUAUAUC
rnacentral:rRNA from 1 species